rnacentral:rRNA from 2 species
AUGGAGCAAGCGUUAUCCGGAUUUACUGGGUGUAAAGGGAGCGCAGGCGGUACGGCAAGUCCGAUGUGAAAGCCCGGGGCUCAACCCCGGGACUGCAUUGGAAACUGCCGCACUAGAGUGCCGGAGAGGUAAGUGGAAUUCCUAGUGUAGCGGUGAAAUGCGUAGAUAUUAGGAGGAACACCAGUGGCGAAGGCGGCUUACUGGACGGUAACUGACGCUAAGGCUCGAAAGCGUGGGGAGCAAACAGGAUUAGAUACCCUGGUUGUCCACGCCGUAAACGAUGAAUACUAGGUGUCGGGGCACAACGUGCUUCGGUGCCGCAGCAAACGCAUUAAGUAUUCCACCUGGGGAGUACGUUCGCAAGAAUG